rnacentral:rRNA from 1 species
GACGAACGCUGGCGGCGUGCUUAACACAUGCAAGUCGAACGGAAAGGCCCUGCUUUUGUGGGGUGCUCGAGUGGCGAACGGGUGAGUAACACGUGAGUAACCUGCCCUUGACUUUUGUAUAACUUCAGGAAACUUGGGCUAAUACCGGAUAGGAGCUCCUGCUGCAUGGUGGGGGUUGGAAAGUUUCGGCGGUUGGGGAUGGACUCGCGGCUUAUCAGCUUGUUGGUGGGGUAGUGGCUUACCAAGGCUUUGACGGGUAGCCGGCCUGAGAGGGUGACCGGCCACAUUGGGACUGAGAUACGGCCCAGACUCCUACGGGAGGCAGCAGUGGGGAAUAUUGCACAAUGGGCGGAAGCCUGAUGCAGCAACGCCGCGUGCGGGAUGACGGCCUUCGGGUUGUAAACCGCUUUCGCCUGUGACGAAGCGUGAGUGACGGUAAUGGGUAAAGAAGCACCGGCUAACUACGUG